AUUGAACGCUGGCGGCAUGCUUUACACAUGCAAGUCGAACGGUAACAGGUUAAGCUGACGAGUGGCGAACGGGUGAGUAAUGCAUCGGAACGUGCCCGGUCGUGGGGGAUAACACUUCGAAAGAAGUGCUAAUACCGCAUACGAUCUGAGGAUGAAAGCGGGGGACCGUAAGGCCUCGCGCGAUCGGAGCGGCCGAUGUCAGAUUAGGUAGUUGGUGGGGUAAAGGCUCACCAAGCCGACGAUCUGUAGCUGGUCUGAGAGGACGACCAGCCACACUGGGACUGAGACACGGCCCAGACUCCUACGGGAGGCAGCAGUGGGGAAUUUUGGACAAUGGGCGCAAGCCUGAUCCAGCAAUGCCGCGUGCAGGAAGAAGGCCUUCGGGUUGUAAACUGCUUUUGUACGGAGCGAAAAGGCUCUCUCUAAUACAGGGGGCUCAUGACGGUACCGUAAGAAUAAGCACCGGCUAACUACGUGCCAGCAGCCGCGGUAACAC
rnacentral:rRNA from 1 species